UACGAAGGGGGCUAGCGUUGUUCGGAAUUACUGGGCGUAAAGCGCACGUAGGCGGGUUAUUAAGUCAGGGGUGAAAUCCCAGAGCUCAACUCUGGAACUGCCUUUGAUACUGGUAAUCUCGAGAUCGGAAGAGGUGAGAUGGAAUUCCCAGGUGAUAGUGGUGAAAGUGCGUAGAUAUCGGGAGGAACACCAACGUGGGUC
rnacentral:rRNA from 1 species